ACUUUUAAAGGAUAACAGCUAAUCCACUG
rnacentral:tRNA from 2 species